rnacentral:rRNA from 1 species
AUUGAACGCUGGCGGCAGGCCUAACACAUGCAAGUCGAGCGGAUGAAGGGAGCUUGCUCCUGGCUUCAGCGGCGGACGGGUGAGUAAUGCCUAGGAAUCUGCCUGGCAGUGGGGGAUAACGUCCGGUAACGGGCGCUAAUACCGCAUACGUCCUGAGGGUGAACGUGGGGGUUCUAAGGUCAAAGCCGUUCUUGCUGACCCUAGGAGGGAUUAGCUAGUUGGUGGGGUAAGGGCCUACCAAGGCGACGAUCCGUAACUGGUCUGAGAGGAUGACCAGUCACACUGGAGCUGAGACACGGUCCAGACUCCUACGGGAGGCAGCAGUAGGGAAUAUUGGACAAUGGGCGAAAGCCUGAUCCAGCCAUGCCGCGUGUGUGAAGAAGGUCUUCGGAUUGUAAAACACUUUAAGUUGGGAGGAAGGGCAGUAAGUGAAUACCUUGCUGUUUUGACGUUACCAACAGAAUAAGCACCGGCUAACUUCGUG